ACGGAAGGCAGCAGUGGGGAAUAUUGCACAAUGGGGGAAACCCUGAUGCAGCGACGCCGCGUGAGUGAAGAAGUAUUUCGGUAUGUAAAGCUCUAUCAGCAGGGAAGAUAAUGACGGUACCUGACUAAGAAGCCCCGGCUAACUACGUGCCAGCAGCCGCGGUAAUACGUAGGGGGCAAGCGUUAUCCGGAUUUACUGGGUGUAAAGGGAGCGUAGACGGCAGUGCAAGUCUGAAGUGAAAUGCGGGGGCUCAACCCCCGAACUGCUUUGGAAACUGUACGGCUAGAGUACCGGAGGGGUAAGCGGAAUUCCUAGUGUAGCGGUGAAAUGCGUAGAUAUUAGGAAGAACACCGGUGGCGAAGGCGGCUUACUGGACGGUAACUGACGUUGAGGCUCGAAAGCGUGGGGAGCAAACAGGAUUAGAUACCCUGGUA
rnacentral:rRNA from 1 species